GGGCGAAAGCCUGAAGCAGCAACGCCGCGUGUGUGAUGAAGGCCUUCGGGUCGUAAAGCACUUUUUCUGGGAGAUGAGAAAGGACAGUAUCCCAGGAAUAAGUCUCGGCUAACUACGUGCCAGCAGCCGCGGUAAAACGUAGGAGGCAAGCGUUAUCCGGAUUCACUGGGCGUAAAGCGCGUGCAGGCGGUGUGGUAAGUUGGGCGUGAAAGCUCCCGGCUCAACUGGGAGAGGUCGUCCAAUACUACCGUACUUGAGAGCAGAAGAGGAAGAUGGAAUUCCCGGUGUAGUGGUGAAAUGCGUAGAUAUCGGGAGGAACACCAGUGGCGAAGGCGGUCUUCUGGUCUGUUUCUGACGCUCAGACGCGACAGCUAGGGUAGUAAACGGGAUUAGAGACCCCGGUAAUCCUAGCCGUAAACGAUGUGAACUUGGCGUUGGUGGGUUAAACUCCAUCAGUGCCGUAGCAAACGCGAUAAGUUCACCGCCUGGGGACUACGGCCGCAAGGUUA
rnacentral:rRNA from 1 species